UAUAAUCAGUACAAUCGUCAAACAAUUGAUUUUAGGACACAAUUUCCAAUAACUCCCACUUAGACUAAAGCCAAUUAGUAUAGUAUCAUAUAUUCAUCUUCGAUUUAUCAUCUUAGUGAAGGAACCAGAUCUAGGGUUUCAGGGUUAGAUCUUGAAACUUUUUCAAGAUCAUACAGCGGAAGACUAAAAUAAAUCAAAAUUUAUUUUCUAAAACUAGAGAAUUCCUAGAUCU
rnacentral:lncRNA from 1 species